GUGCUCGCUUUGACAGCACAUAUACUAAAAUUGAAACAAUACGGAAAUUAGCAUGGCCCCUGUGCAAGGAUGACAUGCAAAUUCGUGAAGCAUUUCAUAUUUUU